rnacentral:rRNA from 1 species
AGUCUGACGGAGCAACGCCGCGUGAGUGAUGAAGGUUUUCGGAUCGUAAAGCUCUGUUGUUAGGGAAGAACAAGUGCAAGAGUAACUGCUUGCACCUUGACGGUACCUAACCAGAAAGCCACGGCUAACUACGUGCCAGCAGCCGCGGUAAUACGUAGGUGGCAAGCGUUGUCCGGAAUUAUUGGGCGUAAAGGGCUCGCAGGCGGUUUCUUAAGUCUGAUGUGAAAGCCCCCGGCUCAACCGGGGAGGGUCAUUGGAAACUGGGAAACUUGAGUGCAGAAGAGGAGAGUGGAAUUCCACGUGUAGCGGUGAAAUGCGUAGAGAUGUGGAGGAACACCAGUGGCGAAGGCGACUCUCUGGUCUGUAACUGACGCUGAGGAGCGAAAGCGUGGGGAGCGAACAGGAAUAGAUACCCUGGUAGUCCACGCCGUAAACGAUGAGUGCUAAGUGUUAGGGGGUUUCCGCCCCUUAGUGCUGCAGCUAACGCAUUAAGCACUCCGCCUGGGGAGUACGGUCGCAAGACUGAAACUCAAAGGAAUUGACGGGGGCCCGCACAAGCGGUGGAGCAUGUGGUUUAAUUCGAAGCAACGCGAAGAACCUUACCAGGUCUUGACAUCCUCUGACAACCCUAGAGAUAGGGCUUUCCCUUCGGGGACAGAGUGACAGGUGGUGCAUGGUUGUCGUCAGCUCGUGUCGUGAGAUGUUGGGUUAAGUCCC